UCUCUCUGUUUCUAAGGUUGGAUAGCUUGCUUCUUCUUCUUCUUCUUCUCUACAUGGUCUUUUGCUUUCGUGGAUGGAGUCCUUUUCACUCUUUUGGUUGUUUUUUUUUUUAAUAGUUAGGUUUGUGUGUUAAUCAAUGGAAUUUUUCUCUGGUUAGGGAGACGGGGGGGUGACGUUGCGCCACGUGGGCAUGAGGAGGGCAUCAUGAUGAGGGAUUUGCUUUUGGGAAAGAAAGAUGCUAAAAGGAGCAGUGGAGGUGAGGUCGCAGUGUUGGGUCCGUUUGGGUCGCUAGAAAACACAGAAGUUGAGGCCAGUGUUUCACGUUAUUUGUUAAGGAUCAGGCCGUCUCAGGAUUUCAGGGGUGAUGAUGGAAAUGGGGGCAUAUUCUGGAAAAUGGUCUUUGGUUCAAGUUGAGCUCCAUCCAGCCUUCUAAUAGGUUAAUACUUUUCUGUCUUUUUAGUUGUUUUUAUCAGUGGGCCAAUCUUUGUAGUUAGAGGUGGAAAUCAAAUCAUGAUAAAUGCUA
rnacentral:lncRNA from 1 species